CAGGUGUUGGGCUGAGCACAGGACACAAUCGGAGCUGGCUCAGGAAUCUCUGGGCCUGUAAGUAGGCCAGGGCUGUCUGGGUCUCAGACUCUCAGACACCCAGGCGCUGCUUGAUGCCUCAGAAGAGCUGAGAACAGAGUUGGGGUCCUCCGGCUGGACCUAGCCUGGGGCCAAGGGGGAAAAGAGGAGGGCUCUGGCUGGUCAGGCGAGGAGAGACUGGCUUGAUGGUGGGAAGCUUGGGUUGGCUUUGUGACGGCUGCAGCUGGCAGUAAAUGUAAUGAUCUGGAGUGCAGAGAGGCUUUCUUCAAGAGAUUAGACCACGACUCUGUAGGCGAAGGCCUUCUCUGUGGCUCCCCACUGCCCAAUGAAGAGGCAGUGCAUGGUUUUAAGGCAUUUAUUGUCAUGGUAGAAAGUGGAUGGGUAAAACCAUACCCCACUUCUCAAGGGAGAUCGUACAACUUCCGGUCCCGGAAGGGAGGAAACUGUUUGAUCUUCCAUCAGCAAGAACAUGGCAGAACCCAGUGUGUCCCCUGGGAGUUCCUCAGAGACUCAACUGUGUUCACAACCAGUCAGUGAGGCCACUGAUGAAGACCUAACUACAGGCCGGCUGGUGGUGCCCACAUGCACCCCCAAUGUCUGUGUGCUACUGAGGAUUCUGGGGCCCAAGCCAUUUGCAGGCCGGGUAAGUGUGUUAAUCAGCCUUCUAUUGCUGUAACCAAACACUUGAAACAGCUUUAAAGAGGCAAAAGCCCAUUUGGACUCACAGUUUUGGAGUUUCUGCAGAAAUAGUGGACCCCAUUGUUAUGGGCCUGUGGUGAGGCAAUUGAGCAGCAGGGUAGGAAAAUGAAGGGGAAAGAGCAGCCUCAUAGCAGCCAG
rnacentral:lncRNA from 1 species